rnacentral:rRNA from 1 species
UACGUAGGGGGCAAGCGUUGUCCGGAAUUAUUGGGCGUAAAGAGCGCGUAGGCGGUCCGGUAAGUCGGUUGUGAAAGUCGGGGGCUCAACCCUCGGAUGCCGAUCGAUACUGCCGGGCUAGAGUCCGGAAGAGGCGAGUGGAAUUCCUGGUGUAGCGGUGAAAUGCGCAGAUAUCGGAAGGAACAUCAGUGGCGAAAGCGACUUCCUGGACCAGUACCGACGUUCAGGCACGAAAGCGUGGGGAGCAAACAGG